CAUAACCAAUUAAAUGAGCUGGAAGUAAAGCAAGGGGAUCAAGAAGGUGGAUUUUCUGGUGUACUUCUUCGAGUAUAUGAGCCUCACAAUGAGCUUGUUAACUGUAAUUAUUGCA